CGAUGCAACNCGAAGAACCUUACCAGGGCUUGACAUGUAGGUAGUAGUGAAGCGAAAGCGGAACGACCCUUCGGGNAGCCUACACAGGUGCUGCAUGGCUGUCGUCAGCUCGUGCCGUGAGGUGUUGGGUUAAGUCCUGUAACGAGCGCAACCCCUGCCGUUAGUUACAAGUGUCUAACGGGACUGCCCGGCAAAACUGGGAGGAAGGUGGGGAUGACGUCAAGUCAGCAUGGCCUUUAUGUCCUGGGCUACACACACGCUACAAUGGCCGGUACAAUGGGUUGCCAANCCGCGAGGCGGAGCCAAUCCU
rnacentral:rRNA from 1 species